rnacentral:snRNA from 1 species
UCGGCCCGCGGUAUACCGC